rnacentral:rRNA from 1 species
GACGAACGCUGGCGGCGUGCCUGACACAUGCAAGUCGGACGGUUCUUGUAUCUUCAAGCUUGCUUGCAGGUGCAAGGAUAGUGGCGGACGGGUGAGUAACGCGUGAACAUCUACCCAUUGGAGGGGGACAACCCGUCGAAAGGCGGGCUAAUACCGCGUAAGCCGCGAGGUGAGAGGCUGCCUAUUGGUGGCCGCCGAUGGAUGGGUUCGCGUCCUAUCAGCUGGUUGGUGGGGUAACGGCCUACCAAGGCUAUGAUGUUUAGGGGUCCUGAGAGGGUGGUCCCCCACACUGGUACUGAGACACGGACCAGACUCCUACGGGAGGCAGCAGUGAGGAAUAUUGGUCAAUGGGCGCAAGCCUGAACCAGCCAUCCCGCGUGCAGGAAGACGGCCCUAUGGGUUGUAAACUGCUUUUCCAGGGAGAGAAACUUACGCACGUGUUGCGUGACUGACGGUACCCUGGGAAUAAGCAUCGGCUAACUCCGUGCCAGCAGCCGCGGUAAAACG